GUACGAUAAAGCAUUCUUUACAAUUUCUGCUGAGCCUCGUAUUGUAACUUCCACAUAUACAGAUCGACCGUUCAUUGCUAAAAUAGUUCAAGCAAUCUCAAUUUGUUAUUAGGCAAUCAGGAAUGGAUUCGUUUGGUUAUUUGAAAUCAAAGCAUUCUGUGACCAGUAAGUUCUGUUCCGGAUAGCUUUCAACAGUUAUUGUAGUUGAUAGUUAUUGUAGUAUGAUCGAUCAAUGCGCAAUGUAGCGACUCAUUUUUGUGAUUAGUUCUUGUGGUUAGCCUGCGCAUGCGCAGCUAACCACUAUGUAGAAAAUCAUAAUAAUGUUUAGUUUGACAGUUUUUAGUCUGCGCAUGUGCGGAAUACGAAAGAGCCGUUGGUUAAAGAAAUUUUAUAGUUAAAGGCAUACGAAAGAACCGUUGGUUUAUGGAAUUUUGUAGUUAAACGGAUACGAAAGAGCCGUUGAUUUAUGGAAUUUUAUAGUUAAAGGCAUACGAAAGAGCCGUUGGUUUAUGAAAUUUUGUAGUUAAAGGCAUACGAAUGAGCCGUUGGUUUAUGAAAUUUUGUAGUUAAAGGCAUUAGGCAUACUCUUUCGUUUGCGCAUAAAUAAACCAGAUCGAUAUCGUCGGUUUUCUUUGGAGGUUCAUAUCCUUGGUUCAGUGCGCAUGCUAUCUCUCUCCUCCGCAGAGGCGAUUGGAAUAGGCUUACAUGAAUGGAAUAGGCUUACAUAAUGAAUCUUACAUGAUGAAUCUUACAUGAAGUUUCAAUUGGCGAGAGAAUUCCCCCAGGAAACUUCAUGUAAGCGCGCACGAAACUUCAUGUAAGAUUCCGAAACUUCAUGUAAGAGUCAUGUAAGCCUAUUCCAAUCGCCUCUGCGGAGGAGAGAGGUAUGCUAUAUGGAUGAAAAUACCACCGUUUAAUUUCAGUGAAACAAUUUCUAUCGAUGGUUUUAGUAAAAUGUCAACAUGAAUAUUAUGGCGAUUUACGAUCUUUAGAAGUCAAGCGAUACCAUAUUUCACACAAUUUUCCCAAACAAUGUAAACAAUGUCAAUGUAUUACCAAGAUAUCUUUAACGUAUCUUUUUCGUAAUAGUCUUGUUCGAAUCACAAUCCAAAACACUAUUCAGCGUGUUAUUUUCAAGCAUGUAUCUACAGAUUUUAUUUCGGUAUUUCAGAAUAUCUAAAUUUUUGGUGAGAGCUUCAACCAGAAAUACAAAUUGAUUGUCGAAACAAUGCUGUCCUAGCACUCGGGAAACGUCGGAAACCACACGGAAACCGAUUCUAAAGGUCACGUUAGCCGUGUAUGGCCAGUCUAUAUUUUUAUUGAGUAACUUGAUACUCUCGCUUGCCUUUCAGAGGCAAUAAAUUGCUACAAUGUUGAGUAUUGUUGACAAUAACUAAAACUAUUUGAUUUUGUUUCAUUGAAUCGUAUGGUGGUGGUAUUGUCUUCAUAGCAUGCACUGAACUCAAGAUAUGAACAUCCAAAGGUCGGCAGCUUCUAGCGACCUACGAUGCUUGGGACUGAGCGAGAAAGAGUUUUAAAAUUUUAUUUUAGUCGUUUACGACAAAAUAGUAGAGUUUUUAAUAUUUAAUACUUCUGGUUUGUUUUUAAAAAUGUUGCUGCAUUAUGACUAUGCUAUACGGCAUCUGGCUUCAUACGAGGUACUAAACUUAGAGAUAUUUCGAACAAAUAACUUGGUAUGUUGUUUUUCAGUCGCCAAUACAUUCAAAAUUGAGAGGUUUCAUGGACUUGGCCUGUGGAAACAUCACAAUCCUUUAGAGUUUAAUGAAGACCAGGUACAUUUUUUUCCACGUAAAACAAGUUUUGCAGUUGUGUAUAAAUUCAGAGAACAAAACUCCCACUACAAUGAAGUGCAGUACACGAAUUGUACAGUGUAUGUACAAUGCAGGGUAUUGUACAAUGUAGGGUAUACAUACAAUUUGGGGCAGUGCACUGUAGAAAACAGGUCGGUUGUCUUCUGAUACAAUCUCGUUCCCUGAGCCAGCGAUCCUCGGGAAGGAACGCGAGGCUCUGGGAUAAUCCGUUGCCGGAAGCCAGGAAUUCUGGCUAAGAUUGAACUACGCAUUACAUUUCAACGGCCAAUCAGAUUCCUCCCUGAAACGGAUUAUCCCAGAGCCUCGCGUUCCUUCCCGAGGAUCGCAGACUCGGGGAACGAGAUUGCUUCUGAUAGUGCUAUCAACCCUUGUUAAAAUGCUGAAAAAGCCAAAACUACCGAUAUAGACGUCAUAAUCAAUAGAAAGGAACUUCGACUGGAUUUACACUAUACCGGAUUGAUUUUCAUACCGGAUUAAUUUUCACUCCGAAGUAAAAAACAAGGGUGUUUACACUAUGCAUGCCGCUUCGCUCUGUUUCCAGCUCGUGUCUCCCUGUCGCCAUGGAAACAAGUAAUAUUUUUGGCCAGUAUACUAAAAUUUAUUAAAAACAAGAAGUAACACACGUUUUCUUUGUAAAGUAUAACUUUGUUUAAAAAGCUUGACUACCAGACGUUGCUUCGUUUCGCUCUAAUCCAAAAUUGACGAGUAUUUCUUUAAAUUUUGCCCUAUCGAAAGCGAAAAGUCAAUAUUAUUAUCGUUUUCUUUAUUUGUCUUCGCCAGAAAUAGUAAAUGGUUGUAAGGCGAAACAAACGACAGCUCUAAAAUAUUGUAAAAGCGAGCAAAUAAAGGCGACAAUGGUAAAACGUACACGCCAAAACCGAUUUUGUAUCGAAGCGUACCGGAUUGGCCUGCUUACACUGCUUCGGCACAUACCGGAUUACUUUUCAUAUCACCUCCAAAGCGGAGUGAUUUUUACGCCGCGUCGCGUACCGGAUUACUGUGGCGUAGUGUAAACAGCAGCCGAAUCCGGUGAAAAUCGCGACGCUCCGAUGCAAUCCGGUAUAGUGUAAUCGGGGCUUUCAAUUGAUAAAUUGAACAAUACAGUACAGUGCAGUAAUUGCAUGGUUUUCUUAGUUUUUAGAUCUAAUGGAAUUAUCUCAAAAAUGGUACGUUCAGUAGACCCUUAAUGCCUUGGUGAUCGUUUUUACGUAGUAUUUCAAAUCUGACGUCCGUGCACCGAGACGAAGCCAAGGACUGGGUUAAGGUUACAGGACACCCUUUGUGGCAUUUUGCGCAAAAUUUUACAGGACACCCUUUGUGGCAUUUUGCGCAAAAUCGCUACUGCGCGCUCAAUAUCAGUCCGAUUUUCAUCAAAUGUUCGCCAGUGCAUGCAAAAUAUGGUAAGUUGUAAAAUUGACAAACAAUAAAAUAAUGUAAGAAUUAUUCAGCCAAAACCUUUACGCUUUUGAGUUGUUUUCCUGCUGUUUUUAAGAUAUAUUUAUGAAAAUAUCAUUCUUAUACUGUAAAAUAGUUGUUCUAACAAAUUGUGUUCGGAGAUUUUUGUUUACAUGUAUUUCGUCAUUCCGCUGAUAUGGCGAUUUCUUUGACGACUGCAAUAUAUUUCUGAAUUGUUUGAGUGAAUUGCUCCUUAUUAUUAAAAUAUCCAAAAUUAGAAAAAAGCCGAACGCAAUUUGUCUUGUGAAAAUUUGAGAAAAAUUAAUUCGUUAAAACCCGCAGGAGAGCAACUCGUUUGAAAAUCAGUAAUUGCCGUAAAAUUCUUCGGGAGAAGAUUGAAUUUGAGUAUUACGUUUUCAAUGUUUUUCUUAUAUUGCAGCAAAUUGUAUUUUGUCAAAUAACUCCGCGAGUUUUCAACAUUUUUCGUUCAAAAAAUCAAACUUGGUCAGAUAGUAGAAGUAGUCCAGUGCUUUAAUUCAUGGAAACCAAUAAAAAAAAUUAGGCAAAAUUAACACUCAAAGGUGUUCUGUAACCUUAAAAUGCGACGAUUUGAAAUCCAGUCCAGUCCGAAUUGGAGGAUUUGAAAUGACAUCUCAUAGGAAUAAAUCAAUAAUUAAAGUGAGGUGAAUUAAUUUUGAUCCAGUCCAAGGAGAUCUGAAGUGACAUCUCAUAGGAAUAAAUCACUAAUUAUAAAGGAGGCUCCCAUUUUCAUCAGUCCAAGGCUGAAUUAAUUUCGAUCCAGUCCUAGAACUGAAUCAAUAUACUUCACCAGUUAUCCAGUAUUAUCAUGUGAGCAAAAUAAAGUAGUAUGGCUAGCUAAAUUACUCAUGAAUUGUUAAUGAGUUUGAGAUAUUAAUGUACUUAUUUGUCGUGUAUAAUUAAGUGAACAUAAGAAUGAAAAUUUUAUUCUAAUCUUUCUGUAGGUAUAUAAUUGUUAAUUUUCUGCAUAGGUUUAGAAAAUGUUUUGAAAUUGACGAAACGUUUACGCUACCAAGCUUGCUGUGGGAUAUCUUGCCGAAAGCAAGUGCUAGUCAAAUACAUCCACAUAUUCAUAUGUUUGUGUCUAAAGAUUUUUAUUUUU